UACGUAGGUGGCAAGCGUUGUCCGGAUUUACUGGGUGUAAAGGGCGUGCAGCCGGAGAGACAAGUCAGAUGUGAAAUCCGCGGGCUUAACCCGCGAACUGCAUUUGAAACUGUUUCCCUUGAGUAUCGGAGAGGUAAUCGGAAUUCCUAGUGUAGCGGUGAAAUGCGUAGAUAUUAGGAAGAACACCAGUGGCGAAGGCGGAUUACUGGACGACAACUGACGGUGAGGCGCGAAAGCGUGGGGAGCAAAC
rnacentral:rRNA from 1 species